UCUGGUUGAUCCUGGCGGAGGUUACUGCUAUCGAGGUUCGACUAAGCCAUGCGAGUCGAAUGUAGCAAUACAUGGCGUACUGCUCAGUAACACGUGGACAACCUGCCCUUGAGACGGGGAUAAACCCGGGAAACUGGGUAUAAUACCCGAUAGAUCUCGAUUGCUGGAAUGCAUCGAGCUUGAAAGCUCCGGCGCUCAAGGAUGGGUCUGCGGCCUAUCAGGUAGUAGUGGGUGUAGCGUACCUACUAGCCUACGACGGGUACGGGUUGUGAGAGCAAGAGCCCGGAGAUGGAUUCUGAGACACGAAUCCAGGCCCUACGGGGUGCAGCAGGCGCGAAAACUUUACAAUGCUGGCAACAGCGAUAAGGGGACCUCGAGUGCCAGGUUACAAAUCUGGCUGUCGUGAUGCCUAAAAAGCAUUCCAUAGCAAGGGCCGGGCAAGACCGGUGCCAGCCGCCGCGGUAACACCGGCGGCUCGAGUGGUAACCGUUAUUAUUGGGUCUAAAGGGUCUGUAGCCGGCCGGAUAAGUCUCUUGGGAAAUCUGGCAGCUUAACUGUCAGGCUUUCAGGAGAUACUGCCUGGCUCGAGGCCGGGAGAGGUGAGAGGUACUUCAGGGGUAGGGGUGAAAUCUUGUAAUCCUUGAAGGACCACCAGUGGCGAAGGCGUCUCACCAGAACGGACCUGACGGCAAGGGAC
rnacentral:rRNA from 1 species